rnacentral:tRNA from 1 species
GGGUCGAUGCCCGAGCGGUUAAUGGGGACGGACUGUAAAUUGCUGGCAAUAUGUCUACGCUGGUUCAACCAGCUCGGCCCA